CCAACGGCGAAAAUCGUGAGUGCACCGUGCGCGUAUACUGUUGGUUUUGGUCGAUCCCCAAAAGCCAACUAAAGCGCAACCUUUCCAGUAUUCCUUGUUUAGGCCAAGAAAAUUCGGGGCUUUACUACGUAAAUUCGAUUGCAUUGUUCCAACCCCAAUCCAGACAUUUUUUUUUUUUGUCUAUCUGCACAAGACGUUGGGCGUAAUUACCCCACUGAGAAGAAGCUUAACGAGUGGAUUAGUUGGCAUACCAGAUCAACUUAGCAACACGGAGGUGGGAGUUGAAGAAGAGGAUGAAUCAGCGAUUUGGUGGUGCGAGGCAGCCCACCGGCACUCCGUCGCUAGCCUGGUCAUGCGUCGUUGUCAUUGCCUCCCUCCUUGUUGGCGCCUCCGUUGUCCACAACAUCUACAAGCCUGAUCUGACGUUGCCGCCACUGGAGAACACUGAGGAGGCCAAGAAGCAACCCGAGGAGGAAUGAAGGAAAAGCUCCUGUCUUUGAUACUUAGAGAUGGUUUAGCUGCGAUAUUUUCCUCCUAGAUAAAGGGCAAACAACUAUUUUGUCAAUUGGCCAUUCUUUGAUCUUGCUUUGUUGUAUCCAUUCUAAGUCUCGACUGUGCUUUUGUACUUCCCAUCGCUCACUCAAUGAUUGUUCAUUUUUCUGCUAA